GAUGAACGCUGGCGGCGUGCCUAAUACAUGCAAGUCGAGCGAAUGGAUUAAGAGCUUGCUCUUAUGAAGUUAGCGGCGGACGGGUGAGUAACACGUGGGUAACCUGCCCAUAAGACUGGGAUAACUCCGGGAAACCGGGGCUAAUACCGGAUAAUAUUUUGAACUGCAUGGUUCAAAAUUGAAAGGCGGCUUCGGCUGUCACUUAUGGAUGGACCCGCGUCGCAUUAGCUAGUUGGUGAGGUAACGGCUCACCAAGGCAACGAUGCGUAGCCGACCUGAGAGCGGGAUCGGCCACAAUGGGACUGAGAGACGGCCAUGAUGCCUACGGGAGGCAGCAGUAGGGAAUCCUCCGAAAUGGACGAAAGUCUGACGGAGCAACGCCGCGUGAGUGAUGAAGGCUUUCGGGUCGUAAAACUCUGUUGUUAGGGAAGAACAAGUGCUAGUUGAAUAAGCUGGCACCUUGACGGUACCGUAAGAAUAAGCACCGGCUAACUACGUGCCAGCCGCCGCCGUAA
rnacentral:rRNA from 1 species